rnacentral:rRNA from 1 species
AUGAAAGUUUAUACCGCGGAACAUGUGACCGCCCUAGAUAAUGCCAUUGGGAAAACCAGAUUGUUCUAUAUAGGAAUGAAGAUUGAUUUGGUAUCCAGAUUCCCCAUAAGUUAUGUCAUAAAGAAAAGCUUCCCAGUUGACAAUGCACAAAUGCUGCCCUCUACAAAGUCAACUCCAAGCAAAGAACUGGAGAAGAGUCCAGCGUCAUCAAAGAGCAUCCAGAGGUUUGCCAUCAAUCACAAAAUAGAAGCUACAUCCUCUGUCUACAAAAUGUUUACCAAACUUUUCCUAUUCGUAGUCCGGGGAGCCAAAACACAAGUCCACUUGGGCAAUACUAUGCCUCCUGCUUGCCAAUCUGCAACUAUGGACACCGACAAAAACAUAAAUAGGUACUCUUCAGCGAAAAGAAGCAUCCAAUUUACAGAAGAUGGAGCCACCAACAAAGAGGGUACAUCUACCUAUUUACAUGCCAGUCAACAAACAGAGUACACAUUGAUAACAAUAUUUCCUGUUUACAUGCCAGUCAACAACAGGAACAUCUUCAGGAUACACAAGUGCAUCUCCAGGUUGUCAAAAAGCAUAAACAAGAAUAACAAUGUGAAAAUGAACAAAUGUGAAGGACAAGAGGAUAACGGGCACCGUCAACAACCAUGCAAGGACCAAGGAAUCUUCAAGACGCACGAAAAGCACCUACGGAUUGCACCACCUUCCAUUGAAAAUUACCUCCAAAACUAA